UACAGAGGUCUCGAGCGUUAGGCGGAAUCACUGGGCUUAAAGCGUGUGUAGGCGGAUGUCUAAGUACCUUGUGAAAUCCCACGGCUUAACCGUGGAAUAGCUUGGUAUACUGGAUGUCUUGAGCCGUCUAGGGGCGACUGGAACGAAUGGUGGAGCGGUGAAAUGCGUAGAUAUCAUUCGGAACGCCUGUGGUGAAAACGGGUCGCUGGGGAUGUGCUGACGCUGAGACACGAAAGCCCGGGGAGCAAACGGG
rnacentral:rRNA from 1 species